ACCACAAAACCACACACACUUCUCUCUCUUUCUCUCUCUAUGGAUAACCAUCCAGAUCUAAGGUUUGAAACAAAAAAAUUCUUGUUCUUAUUAAAACCCUUCAUAAUCAACCACCCAAACUCUAGAUCUACAAUCUUAACAAUCCGGUGACGGUGUAGUUCAAGAUCCGGUUUCUUGGCGUACGAGAUAUCCAUCGAUCCACCACAAAUCAUCACCAAAACCACUGGUUUUCUUGGUUGAUUUAGUGCUUUGAGUGGUUCGAUAGAUUUGUAAGGUGGGCUCGGGUAGUUCCUUGACAAGGGUUUCAAGAUCCGAUGGUGGUUUCAAGAUCCGGCGGUGGUCAACAAAUCCGGUGAAAGUUAUAAGAAUUUAUGAACAUCAAAAGAUCAUCAUCCACAUAUGAACAUAUGAACAUCAUGGUGGCUUGGAUCACAUGGUGGCUUGGUUCCAUGGCUACAUAUGAACAUCAAAAGAUCAUCAUCCACAUGCUCCAAACCAAAAAGAUGCCCCGAACCAAAAAAGAUGCUUCGAAUCA